GACGAACGCUGGCGGCGUGCUUAACACAUGCAAGUCGAACGGAAAGGCCCUGCUUUUGUGGGGUGCUCGAGUGGCGAACGGGUGAGUAACACGGGAGUAACCUGCCCUUGACUUUGGGAUAACUUCAGGAAACUGGGGCUAAUACCGGAUAGGAGCUCCUGCAGCAUGGGGGGGGUUGGAAAGUUUCGUCGGUUGGGGAUGGACUCGGGGCUUACCAGCUUGUUGGUGGGGUAGUGGCUUACCAGGGCUUUGACGGGUAGCCGGCCUGGGAGGGUGACCGGCCACAUUGGGACUGAGGUGCGACCCGGACUCAUACGUGGGGCAGCAGUGGAGAAUAUUGCACGAUGGGCGGAAGCCUGAUGCAGCAACGCCGCGUGCGAGAUGACGGCCUUCGGGUUGUAAACCGCUUUCGCCUGUGACGAAGCGUGAGUGCCGGUAAUGGGUAAAGAAGCACCGGCAACCUACGU
rnacentral:rRNA from 1 species